rnacentral:rRNA from 1 species
AUUGAACGCUGGCGGCAGGCCUAACACAUGCAAGUCGAGCGAGCGGCGGACGGGUGAGUAAUGUCUGGGAAACUGCCUGAUGGAGGGGGAUAACUCCUGGAAACGGUAGCUAAUACCGCAUACCCUCAGAUGUGCCCAGAUGGGAUUUGCUAGUAGGUGGGGUAACGGCUCACCUAGGCGACGCUCACUAGCUGGUCUGAGAGGAUGACCAGCCACACUGGAACUGAGACACGGCCCAGACUCCUACGGGAGGCAGAAGUGGGGAAUAUUGCAAAAUGGGCGCAAGCCUGAUGCAGCCAUGCCGCGUGUGUGAAGAAGGCCUUCGGGUUGUAAAGCACUUUCAGCGGGGAGGCGUUACCGGCAGAAGAAGCACCGGCUAACUCCGUGCCAGCAGCCGCGGUAAUAC